CCCGAAUCCCCAAACCCAAACCUCAGCUCUAGAGGACCUGACAGCUGCGACAUGCCACCAGAUCAACAAACUCUCUGCUGUUGCUGCCGUCAAACAGCAAUGUCGCCCUGUUCCAAGAUCUCAGCAACUCACCUGGCACCAUCUCAUCAAUUAGGAAGAUCUGAAGCCACGCAUCAAAGAAUGACAUGAACAUCAGGUUGUUUGAUGUAAACAGCCCUAAAGAGGCCCCCAAGCAGAUGGGCCACA